CAAAGCUGUAGUUCUUGAAAAGUUGGACCACAAGCUAGGAGCACCGAGGACGGUGCUCGAAUGGGUGGGGGAGAAUGACACGGGCCGAGGUUUUCAUGCCCCAAACGGUCGUCCGGAUGGCCGAGAGAUGCCCCAAGACUUGCUGUGUCUUGGUCCCCUAGGGUUUGUCUAGGAUUUUCUACUAUUUUCUACUAGUUUCCAUAAUAU